rnacentral:rRNA from 1 species
AUGCCGCGACACCGCCGCUGCAGCCGGCUGCGCCGCAUCGUCGGCGGUGUCUCAGUCGGAGCUCUCCUGCUGUUAGCCGGAAGCGGAGGCCACAACGCCUACUCGGGCCGCCCGGUCUUCUCGCUGCCCCUCGGCCUCGGCGCCCCCUUCCCGCUCGUCGCCGACAGUCCGGCGCCCCCGCCCUUCCCGUUCGCUGCCGACUUUUCUCCUUCGCCGUCCCCGCAAUCCCAAUACUCGCCCUUCCGCCUCAGCGAUGACAGCCUCGCGCGGCGCCUUCUGCCCCUCCGCCUCCGCGCCAGCCAAAACGCGGAUGCGGUCCUCCUUCCCGACCAGGAGGUCCUGAUCCUGGACGACGCUGAGCCUACCGGCGACGCCAUCUGCGCCUUCCAGGGCGGGGCUUCCUCCCCGGCGAGACCGCUCGGGAUGCUGCCGGCGUCCGGACUUCACGCAUACGUCUGCCGCCUUCCCGACCCAGCGCAGAGCUUCCAGCAGCUCCAAGCGCCGCUCUUACUCCACUCCUCCACCUCCUCGGCCGCCGCAGCUGCUCCAGAUUCCCCUUCUCCUUCUCCGGGCCGCGCAUUGCUUAACUGGAGCAGCGACCCGAUAGUGUUUGACUCGGCUCAUCUGGACGGAGGCGACGUGCUCGUCUUCGCUAAGGGAAUCAGCCGCCGCCAAGGCCUUCAGUGCCUGUAUCGCUACAGCGACGGCGCCGAUACCAUGCUGGCAACUACACCGGCAAUCACCUCAGUACAGCAAGUUACUCGCUGCCCCUCGCCGCCGACACCUGUCAAGUCAGGAGGAAGCACCAAGGUUCUUGUCACACUAGGGGUCACCGGCGAGGAUCCCAUGCCCUCCCUUGCAACCUUUCGUCGACAGCAAGCUGAAUCUUCUUCGGUGACUCCUCAAAAGAGUUCAAUUUGCGCCUGCACAAUGGGACGCAACAUCUCCAAGUUUCUCAGGGAGUGGGCACUCUACCAUAGUGCGAUUGGGAUGGAUCAGUUCUUUAUCUAUGAUAAUGGCAGCGAGGACAACUUGGCAGGCCUAGUGGCGCAGCUUUCCUCCGGGCUCAACAUCACAACCGUGCCAUGGCCUUGGACCAAGGUCCAAGAAGCUGGUCUGUCUCAUUGCGCGGCCACACAGCAAGCUUCGUGCCAAUGGAUGGCUGUCAUAGAUGUUGAUGAGUUCAUCUUCUCAACAAGCUGGGCAGGAUUAGAGAAGCCAUCAAAAUCUUUGCUAGAGCCCGUUAUUUCUGUUGAUGAUAGCGUUGGCCAAAUAUACCUUGCUUGUUAUGAUUUUGCCCCCUCGGGCCAAACAGCACAUCCACCGGAGGGGGUCUGCCAGGGCUACACUUGCCGGUUGAAGAGCCCGCAGCGGCACAAAUCCUUGGUCCGCCUCGACGCCGUGGAACCAUCCCUCAUGAAUGUGGUCCAUCGUUUUAAGCUCAAGCCUGCUUUCAAAAGCAUCUGGACCGCGUUCGCACGUGUUAACCACUAUAAAUACCAAGCUUGGUCGGAGUUCAAAGUCAAGUUCAAGAGGCGCGUGUCCGCUUAUGUGGCUGAUUGGAAAGAUCCGAUCAACCUCGACUCAAAGGACCGGGCUCCUGGCUUAGGAGUUGAUGACACCGAACCAAAAGGCUGGGCCCAAAGAUACUGCGAGGUUAAAGACAAUAUCCUUCAGCUGUUAACUGCAAGAUGGUUCGGUGUCGGAUUUGGGAACCCUCAUUAG